UACGGAGGGUGCAAGCGUUAUCCGGAAUCACUGGGUUUAAAGGGUGCGUAGGCGGCUUAGUAAGUCAGUGGUGAAAGGCUGUGGCUUAACCAUGGGAUUGCCAUUGAUACUGCUGAGCUUGAAUCAGGUUGAGGUUGGCGGAAUGUGACAUGUAGCGGUGAAAUGCUUAGAUAUGUCAUGGAACACCGAUUGCGAAGGCAGCUGACUGGACCUGUAUUGACGCUGAGGCACGAAAGCGUGGGGAGCGAACAGG
rnacentral:rRNA from 1 species